AGAAUUUUACCGUCUGAAAUAUUUCCAUAGAUUAUCAUCUUGACCACACAAUAAUGAUAUUUGCGACUAGAAGCAAAUGAAAUUAUCCCAUUUUUUUUUUGUUUGUUUGUUUCCCAGAAUCAGACGUAUCAGACGUGGAAAGAAUUUCAAAGGCUUUCUAAUUCAGAUAUACAGUAUACAAGACCAGUUAUCAGUCAACUUUGCUUGAAUUCUUUCAGAGAGGAGAAUCCACUCCCUCCUGAGAUGCCUGUUUAUAUCCAUUUCUUAAUAUCUUCCCAGCAUCAAACCCUCUCUUGUAACAAAGAAGAACAGAGCUUCCCAAAAGCCUGGCAUGGUGCGGUGGAUAGAGUACUCAUACAAGUGUUCAGAUACACUGGCUUCCAUUUAGCUGCAUGGCCACAGCAGUGGAUGUCUGUAUGAUGUUUUAACACCUCUGAGAGCUAGGCACUAGAGGAAUGAUUCUCUCCAUUUGACACUUGACCUGAAGAAAUCAAGGCUCAAAUAAGGGGCAGCUAGGUGGCAGUGGAUAGAGCACUGGCCCUGG